rnacentral:rRNA from 1 species
GACGAACGCUGGCGGCGUGCCUAAUACAUGCAAGUCGAACGCAGUGGGGACGGGUGAGUAACACGUGGGUAACCUCCCAUCAGAGGGGAUAACACUUGGAAACAGGUGCUAAACCGAUACUGAUGGAUGGACCCGCGGUGCAUUAGCUAGUUGGUGAGGUAACGGCUCACCAAGGCCACGAUGCAUAGCCGACCUUGGAGGGUGGUAGGACAAACUGGGACUGAGCAACGGACCAGCAUCCUACGGGAGGCAGAAGUAGGGAAUCGUCAGCAAUGGAAGAAAGGCUGAACGAGCAACGCGGCGUGAGUGAAGAAGGUUUUCGGAUCGUAAAACUCUGUUGUUAGAGAAGCGGUAUCUAACCAGAAAGCCACGGCUAACUACGUGCCAGCCGCAGCGGUAAUAC